rfam:Oryza rufipogon genomic scaffold, chr05
AAUAAGUGUAAUUUUAGUAUUAUUUAUGUUCAACGUUUGACCGUUCGUCUUAUUUGAAAAAAAGAUUAUGAUUAGUAUUUUUAUUGUUAUUAGAUGAUAAAACAUGAAUACUAUUUUAUGUGUGACUAAUUUUUUUAAUAUUUUUUAUAAAUUUUUUAAAUAAGACGGAUGGUCAAAACGCUAAACACGGAUAUUUAUGGUUGUAAUUAUU